rnacentral:tRNA from 1 species
GAGUUGGUAGCUCAGCGGAUGAGAGCACAUGGUUCCGAUCCAUGGGGACGGGGGUUCGAAUCCCCCCCAAUUUG